rnacentral:rRNA from 1 species
GUGGGGAAUAUUGGACAAUGGGCGCAAGCCUGAUCCAGCCAUGCCGCGUGAGUGAUGAAGGCCUUAGGGUUGUAAAGCUCUUUCACCGGUGAAGAUAAUGACGGUAACCGGAGAAGAAGCCCCGGCUAACUUCGUGCCAGCAGCCGCGGUAAUACGAAGGGGGCUAGCGUUGUUCGGAAUUACUGGGCGUAAAGCGCACGUAGGCUGAUAUUUAAGUCAGGGGUGAAAUCCCGGGGCUCAACCCCGGAACUGCCUUUGAUACUGGGUAUCUUGAGUAUGGAAGAGGUCAGUGGAAUUGCGAGUGUAGAGGUGAAAUGCGUAGAUAUUCGCAGGAACACCAGUGGCGAAGGCGGCUGACUGGUCCAUUACUGACGCUGAGGUGCGAAAGCGUAGGGAGCAAACAGGAUUAGAUACCCUUGUAGUCC